UACGUAGGGUGCGAGCGUUAAUCGGAAUUACUGGGCGUAAAGCGUGCGCAGGCGGUUUUGUAAGCCAGAUGUGAAAUCCCCGGGCUUAACCUGGGAAUGGCAUUUGGGACUGCAAGGCUUGAGUGCGGCAGAGGAGACUAGAAUUCCUGGUGUAGCAGUGAAAUGCGUAGAUAUCAGGAGGAACACCGAUGGCGAAGGCAGGUCUCUGGGCAUUAACUGACGCUGAGGAGCGAAAGCAUGGGGAGCGAACAGG
rnacentral:rRNA from 1 species